rnacentral:rRNA from 1 species
GCGAAACCUCUGCACCGCGCGAGACCGUGACAGGAGGAUCCCAAGUGCUCCUGCACAGCAUGGGCUUUUGUUUGGUCUAAGUAACCAGAGGAGUAAGGCCUGGCCAAACCCGUUCCCGGCGGCCGCGGUAAACCGGGCAGUUCAAUGGGUAGCCGUGAUUAUGGGGCUUAAAACUUUGGUAGCCGGAUAAGUAAUUCUUUGAUAAAUUCGUCAGAUUCAACGGCGGGAAUUCAAGAGAUACUGCUUGUCUUGAGACCGGGAGAGGUGAGAGGUACUCCUGGGGUAGGGGUGAAAUCCUGUAAUCCUAGGGGGACCACCAGUGGCGAAGGCGUCUCACCAGAACGGACCUGACGGCAAGGGACGAAAGCUAGGGGCACGAACCGGAUUAGAUACCCGGGUAGUCCUAGCCGUAAACGAUACUCGUUAGGUGUCGGCCACGGUGCGACCGUUGUCGGUGCCGUAGGGAAGCCGUGAAGCGAGCCACCUGGGAAGUACGGCCGCAAGGCUGAAACUUAAAGGAAUUGGCGGGGGAGCACCACAACGGGUGGAGCUUGCGGUUUAAUUGGAUUCAACGCCGGAAAUCUUACCG